GACGAACGCUGGCGGCGUGCUUAACACAUGCAAGUCGAGCGGUAAGGCCCUUUCGGGGGUACACGAGCGGCGAACGGGUGAGUAACACGUGGGUGACCUGCCCUUAGCUCUGGGAUAAGCCUGGGAAACUGGGUCUAAUACCGGAUAUGACUCCAUGACGCAUGUUGUGGGGUGGAAAGCCUUGUGCGGCUAGGGAUGGGCCCGCGGCCUAUCAGCUUGUUGGUGGGGUGAUGGCCUACCAAGGCGACGACGGGUAGCCGGCCUGAGGAGGGCGACCGGCC
rnacentral:rRNA from 1 species